rnacentral:tRNA from 1 species
GGUUGCUCAGUGGUAGAGUGCUUGCUUUGCAUGCAUGAGGCCCUAGGUUCGAUUCCUGAGCACCA